AUGAACGCUAGCGACAGGCUUAACACAUGCAAGUCGAGGGGCAGCACAGGUAGCAAUACCGGGUGGCGACCGGCGCACGGGUGAGUAACGCGUAUGCAACUUGCCUAUCAGAGGGGGAUAACCCGGCGAAAGUCGGACUAAUACCGCAUGAAGCAGGGGCCCCGCAUGGGGAUAUUUGCUAAAGAUUCAUCGCUGAUAGAUAGGCAUGCGUUCCAUUAGGCAGUUGGCGGGGUAACGGCCCACCAAACCGACGAUGGAUAGGGGUUCUGAGAGGAAGGUCCCCCACAUUGGUACUGAGACACGGACCAAACUCCUACGGGAGGCAGCAGUGAGGAAUAUUGGUCAAUGGGCGUAAGCCUGAACCAGCCAAGUCGCGUGAGGGAUGAAGGUUCUAUGGAUCGUAAACCUCUUUUAUAAGGGAAUAAAGUGCGGGACGUGUCCCGUUUUGUAUGUACCUUAUGAAUAAGGAUCGGCUAACUCCGUGCCAGCAGCCGCGGUAAUACGGAGGAUCCGAGCGUUAUCCGGAUUUAUUGGGUUUAAAGGGUGCGUAGGCGGCCUUUUAAGUCAGCGGUGAAAGUCUGUGGCUCAACCAUAGAAUUGCCGUUGAAACUGGGGGGCUUGAGUAUGUUUGAGGCAGGCGGAAUGCGUGGUGUAGCGGUGAAAUGCAUAGAUAUCACGCAGAACCCCGAUUGCGAAGGCAGCCUGCCAAGCCAUUACUGACGCUGAUGCACGAAAGCGUGGGGAUCAAACAGGAUUAGAUACCCUGGUAGUCCACGCAGUAAACGAUGAUCACUAGCUGUUUGCGAUACACUGUAAGCGGCACAGCGAAAGCGUUAAGUGAUCCACCUGGGGAGUACGCCGGCAACGGUGAAACUCAAAGGAAUUGACGGGGGCCCGCACAAGCGGUGGAUUAUGUGGUUUAAUUCGAAGCAACGCGAAGAACCUUACCAGGGCUUGACAUCCUACUAAUGAAGCAGAGAUGCAUUAAGUGCCCUUCGGGGAAAGUAGAGACAGGUGGUGCAUGGUUGUCGUCAGCUCGUGCCGUGAGGUGUCGGCUUAAGUGCCAUAACGAGCGCAACCCUUGCCACUAGUUACUAACAGGUAAAGCUGAGGACUCUGGUGGGACUGCCAGCGUAAGCUGCGAGGAAGGCGGGGAUGACGUCAAAUCAGCACGGCCCUUACAUCCGGGGCGACACACGUGUUACAAUGGCGUGGACAAAGGGAAGCCACCUGGCGACAGGGAGCGAAUCCCCAAACCACGUCUCAGUUCGGAUCGGAGUCUGCAACCCGACUCCGUGAAGCUGGAUUCGCUAGUAAUCGCGCAUCAGCCAUGGCGCGGUGAAUACGUUCCCGGGCCUUGUACACACCGCCCGUCAAGCCAUGGGAGCCGGGGGUACCUGAAGUCCGUAACCGCGAGGAUCGGCCUAGGGUAAAACUGGUGACUGGGGCU
rnacentral:rRNA from 1 species